UGGGGGUUAUUGCACAAUGGGCGAAAGCCUGCUGCCGCGACGCCGCGUGGGGGAUGAAGGCCUUCGGGUUGUAAACUUCUUUUGCUCUGAACAAGGCAUGCCUUUGGGGUGUGUUGAGUGUAGGGGUUGAUUAGCGCCGGCUAACUACGUGCCAGCAGCCGCGGUAAUACGUAGGGCGCGAGCGUUGUCCGGAAUUAUUGGGCGUAAAGGGCUUGUAGGUGGCUGGUUGCGUCUGUCGGGAAAGCUCAUGGCUUAACUGUGGGUUUGCGGUGGGUACGGGCUGGCUUGAGUGGAGGAGGGGAGGGUGGAAUUCCUGGUGUAGCGGUGUAAUGCGCAGAUAUAAGGAGGAAUACCGGUGGCGAAGGCGGGUCUCUGGGCUGUUACAGAGGCUGAGGAGCGAAAGCGUGGGGAGCGAACAGG
rnacentral:rRNA from 1 species